GAUGAACGCUGGCGGCGUGCCUAAUACAUGCAAGUCGAGCGAACAGACGAGGAGCUUGCUCCUCUGACGUUAGCGGCGGACGGGUGAGUAACACGUGGAUAACCUACCUAUAAGACUGGGAUAACUUCGGGAAACCGGAGCUAAUACCGGAUAAUAUAUUGAACCGCAUGGUUCAAUAGUGAAAGACGGUUUUGCUGUCACUUAUAGAUGGAUCCGCGCCGCAUUAGCUAGUUGGUAAGGUAACGGCUUACCAAGGCAACGAUGCGUAGCCGACCUGAGAGGGUGAUCAGCCACACUGGAACUGAGACACGGUCCAGACUCCUACGGGAGGCAGCAGUAGGGAAUCUUCCGCAAUGGGCGAAAGCCUGACGGAGCAACGCCGCGUGAGUGAUGAAGGUCUUCGGAUCGUAAAACUCUGUCAUUAGGGAAGAACAAAUGUGUAAGUAACUAUGCACGUCUUGACGGUACCUAAUCAGAAAGCCACGGCUAACUACGUG
rnacentral:rRNA from 1 species